GCGCAGGAAAAGAAACCAACAGGGAUUGCCCUAGUAACGGCGAGUGAAGCGGCAACAGCUCAAAUUUGAAAUCUGGCUCUUUCAGGGUCCGAGUUGUAAUUUGCAGAGGGUGCUUUGGCAAAGGUUGUGGUCUAAGUUCCUUGGUACAGGACGUCGCAGAGGGUGAGAAUCCCGUAUGUGGCCGCCAGCCUCCGCCGUGUAAAGCCCCUUCGACGAGUCGAGUUGUUUGGGAAUGCAGCUCUAAAUGGGAGGUAAAUUUCUUCUAAAGCUAAAUACUGGCCAGAGACCGAUAGCGCACAAGUAGAGUGAUCGAAAGAUGAAAAGCACUUUGGAAAGAGAGUCAAAAAGCACGUGAAAUUGUUGAAAGGGAAGCGCUUGCAGCCAGACUUGCCUGUAGUUGCUCACCCGGGCCCCGCGCCCGGUGCACUCUUCUGCGGGCAGGCCAGCAUCAGUCCGGGCGGUCGGAUAAAUGCCUGCUAAAUGUACCUCUCCUCGGGGAGGACUUAUAGGGCAGGCGGCAUACGACCAGCCUGGACUGAGGUCCGCGCAUCUGCUAGGAUGCUGGCGUAAUGGCUGUAAGCGGCCCGUCUUGAAACACGGACCAAGGAGUCUAACAUCUAUGCGAGUGUUUGGGUGUCAAGCCCGAGCGCGUAAUGAAAGUGAACGGAGGUGGGAACCCCUCGGGGCGCACCAUCGACCGAUCCUGAUGUUCUCGGAUGGAUUUGA
rnacentral:rRNA from 1 species